CCUACGGGUGGCAGCAGUCGAGAAUCAUUCACAAUGGGGGAAACCCUGAUGGUGCGACGCCGCGUGGGGGAAUGAAGGUCUUCGGAUUGUAAACCCCUGUCAUGUGGGAGCAAAUUAAAAAGAUAGUACCACAAGAGGAAGAGACGGCUAACUCUGUGCCAGCAGCCGCGGUAAUACAGAGGUCUCAAGCGUUGUUCGGAUUCACUGGGCGUAAAGGGUGCGUAGGCUGGUUCGUAGUUCGUGUGUGAAAGGCGCGGGCUCAACCCGGGGACGGCACAUGAAACUGCGAGACUAGAGUAAUGGAGGGGGAACCGGAAUUCUCGGUGUAGCAGUGAAAUGCGUAGAUA
rnacentral:rRNA from 1 species